AGAGGGUCCUCGGCAGCCUCUGAGGAGCGCGGGGCGUAGCCAUGAGCGAGUCCAGCGCCACUGCGCUCCCGCCUGGCAGGCCCAGCCGGCAGCCGGCGGUCCAUCCAGAGAACCUCUCUCUAGACUCCAGUUGCUUUUCCUCUCCACCGGUGAACUUCCUCCAAGAAUUGCCAAGCUACCGGUCCAUUGCACGCAGGAGAACGACUGUCCAUUCCCGCGACAAGCAAAGCGGUACUUUGCUAAAGCCAACCGACUCUUACAGCUCCCAGCUGGAGGACAGAAUCGCUGAAAACCUCAGCGGCCAAUCUCUUCGAAAUUAUGCACUGAACAUCUCUGAGAAGCGGAGACUAAGGGACAUUCAGGAGACACAAAUGAAGUAUCUCUCCGAAUGGGACCAGUGGAAGCGGUAUAGCAGCAAGUCUUGGAAGAGGUUCCUAGAGAAGGCUCGAGAGAUGACGACCCACCUGGAGCUGUGGCGGGAGGACAUUCGCAGCAUAGAAGGGAAAUUUGGCACUGGGAUUCAGUCCUAUUUCUCCUUCUUGAGAUUCCUGGUGUUGCUGAAUUUGGUGAUAUUUCUGAUCAUCUUUAUGCUGGUUUUGCUCCCAGUCUUACUCACGAAGUACAAGCUCACCAACAGCAGCUUCGUGCUCAUUCCUUUCAAAGAGACGGAUAUACAAUGUACAGUCUAUCCAGUAAGCAGUUCUGGACUCAUUUACUUUUACAGUUAUAUCAUAGACUUGCUUUCUGGCACUGGUUUCCUGGAGGAAACUAGCCUCUUUUACGGACAUUACACCAUUGAUGGGGUAAAAUUUCAGAACUUCACCUAUGACCUGCCCCUGGCGUAUUUGUUAAGCACAGUCACCUACCUGGCCCUGAGCCUUCUUUGGAUAGUGAAAAGGUCGGUGGAAGGAUUCAAAAUCAACCUGAUUCGGAGUGAGGAGCACUUUCAGAGUUACUGCAACAAGAUAUUUGCUGGCUGGGACUUCUGCAUCACUAACCGUGGCAUGGCGGAUCUGAAGCACAGCAGCUUGCGAUCUGGAGGAAGAAAGAAUACGGCAGAAAAUAGCAGAAAGGACCUCAGAAGAAACAAUACGCAUUUACUCUUUGAGACUGUUUUUGAACUGUAUUGUUCUGGCUGUUUUAGGGGCGUGCUUUUAUGCAAUAUACGUAGCAACUGUCUUCUCGCAAGAGCACAUGAAAAAGGAAAUCGACAAGAUGGUUUUUGGAGAGAACCUCUUGAUAUUGUAUCUACCGUCUAUCGUGAUCACACUGGCCAAUUUUAUCACCCCAAUGAUCUUUACCAAGAUCAUCCGCUAUGAGGAUUAUUCUCCAGGCUUUGAGAUCCGUCUGACAAUCCUUAGGUGUGUCUUUAUGCGGCUGGCCACCAUAUGUGUCCUGGUGUUCACGCUGGGCUCCAAGAUCACAUCCUGUGAUGAUGACACAUGUGACCUCUGUGGCUACAACCAGAAACUCUACCCGGUGAGUUGCGGGGCGGGGGCGUUCGGCUGGGUGGGUCUUUCUGGAAUACAGUGUCAUGGUCAAGAGAACAGCGGUUGAAGCCAUGGGUUUGAACUGCAUUUACUUCGCUUUCUAGUUCUAAUGAUGGGACAGAGUCUG
rnacentral:sRNA from 1 species